rnacentral:ncRNA from 1 species
UUUUUUACGCAUAAUAAACCACCUCUAUACAUUUUACUGUUCCUGUUACAUGAUUGACAGGUAUAGAAAAACGUAUUAUAAGGUUGUACAGUUCCUAUUAUGCGAUUAUUGUAAAAAAACAUACUGCCAGACGGCAAAUAAAAAAAACCGUUCUCUGGCAGCAUGGUUUUCGUUGCGUCAAAAUCAGAUUAUAGCUAGACGACGGUUUGAAUAAAGCCGCCGUCUUUUUGUUA